AGUGAACGCUGGCGGCGUGCCUAAUACAUGCAAGUCGAACGGAGAUUCAGUAGCUUGCUAUUUAAUCUUAGUGGCGCACGGGUGAGUAAUAUAUAGCUAACUUGCCCAUUACUAAGGGACAACAGUUGGAAACGACUGCUAAUACCUUAUACUCCGUAUCUAUAUAAGUAGAUACGGGAAAGUUUUUCGGUAAUGGAUAGGGCUAUAUCGUAUCAGCUAGUUGGUAAGGUAAUGGCUUACCAAGGCUAUGACGCGUAACUGGUCUGAGAGGAUGAUCAGUCACACUGGAACUGAGACACGGUCCAGACUCCUACGGGAGGCAGCAGUAGGGAAUAUUGCUCAAUGGGGGAAACCCGGAAGCAGCAACGCCGCGUGGAGGAUGACACUUUUCGGAGCGUAAACUCCUUUUCUUGGGAAAGAAUUAUGACGGUACCCAAGGAAUAAGCACCGGCUAACUCCGUG
rnacentral:rRNA from 1 species